UACGGGGGGUGCGAGCGUUGUCCGGAAUCACUGGGCGUAAAGGGCGCGUAGGUGGUUUGAUAAGGGUGUGGUGAAAGUCCGGAGCUCAACUCCGGAUCUGCCGUGCCGACUGUCAAACUCGAGGGCUGUAGAGGCAGACGGAAUUCCGGGUGUAGCGGUGAAAUGCGUAGAGAUCAGGAAGAACAUCGGUGGCGAAGGCGCUCUGCUGGACCAUAACUGACACUCAGGGACGAAAGCUAGGGGAGCGAAUGGG
rnacentral:rRNA from 1 species